CCACCCAUUUCUCAAUUAGUCUACCAAAUUUAUUUUUAUUUCUCAAUUUAUUUUUUCAUUGUCAAUUUUAUCAAUCUUCUUUCAUUCUCAUACUUUUCAUAUCAUUUCAGGCACAUUAUCUUCUUCAUUCUCAUACUUUUCAUGUUUUCUUUUGGAAUAAAAAUAUAUUUGUGGAAUUUCAAUUUUUUUAGGUCAAAUUGUUCAAAAAAUUAAAUUAUGAAGUUAUUUUAAAGAUUAAAUGAAGAAAC
rnacentral:lncRNA from 1 species